UACGUAGGGUGCGAGCGUUAAUCGGAAUUACUGGGCGUAAAGCGUGCGCAGGCGGUGAUGUAAGACAGGUGUGAAAUCCCCGGGCUUAACCUGGGAACUGCAUUUGUGACUGCAUCGCUGGAGUGCGGCAGAGGGGGAUGGAAUUCCGCGUGUAGCAGUGAAAUGCGUAGAUAUGCGGAGGAACACCGAUGGCGAAGGCAAUCCCCUGGGCCUGCACUGACGCUCAUGCACGAAAGCGUGG
rnacentral:rRNA from 1 species